rnacentral:rRNA from 1 species
UACGUAGGGGGCUAGCGUUGUCCGGAAUCAUUGGGCGUAAAGAGCGUGUAGGCGGUCCGGUAAGUCCGUUGUGAAAGUCAAGGGCUCAACCCUUGAAUGCCGGCGGAUACUGUCGGGCUAGAGUCCGGAAGAGGCAAGUGGAAUUCCCGGUGUAGCGGUGAAAUGCGCAGAUAUCGGGAGGAACACCUAUGGCGAAGGCAGCUUACUACAGUGAUAUUGACACUGAGGCACGAAAGCGUGGGGAUCAAACAGG